AUUUUCUGUUAUGUAUGAGAGCAAAUUGUUUUCAUGAAGGCUAGUUUCUGAGUAUCACUCUGUACACUGGCUAUAAAACAUGAGUUCAAGCUUUGACUCUUUUGUGUUUUGGGUUUUUAUGGUCUAGCAGAACAGGAUCACAGAGGUCCAACUUCCUGGGCAGGUCAUGUUGGUUUUGGAGUUGGAUACAACUCUCUCUAUGACCUGUCUAUCCCUGGAGCCCACGGGGGAACUCAGAGCUAAUGCACACUGUUCUCUACUUAAGGAAGGACAAAUGAGCUGUCACCAGGUUUCUUCUGAGGUUUGGAAUGCUCAGGUUGCCAUUAAGGAACUGGAUGCGGGUAAGCUAGGUAACUUUUUUGAUUUUGAGUUUCCCCAUCUAUUUUAUACAAUAAAAAGUGGAACUAAAUCAUCUUUGAGGCCUAUUCUAUUAUGAUUUCUAUUAUUAUUUAUGAACCUGUGCUUUCAAUAUGGCUUUUAUGCAAACUGGCAUUGAACCCUACAAGCUUAAACCUGACAGAUGGAUAUGUGUUUGUAUCAAAGCCAUAGAGCCCAGCUUUAACUGACAAAAUCUGUUUUCAGGCACAUGAAUGUGACCCCCAUUUUCUAACCAUUUGUCUUAUUUGGGUAGAGUAGUGGCUCCUCAA
rnacentral:lncRNA from 1 species